CUCCAGCUGAGUAAUUCAAAUGCAAAUUGGUAGAAAUACGACUAGACUGUAUUGAGACGAGGUUUCCUCCAAUACCUGAAUAGGAAAGAAGAGGUGGGGGCAGGGUGAACAGUCUGACACGUGGAAUUAACAACAAAGCCCAUGCGGAGCAGGAUGUGACUGGCUGGAUGUUUGGAGGCGAUGACCACCCAAAGAGGAAUCAGGCACAAAAAUAACAGAUCCACCAGCUCCCAGACAUUUGGAAAGACAAGAAAUGGCAGCCUAACUUAGAAGACCAUCUAAACUCUAAACCACUUCUUUAUCCUCCUCCAUUUCCUCACCUGAACCACAUCUAGUAGCAUCCCAGCAGAAACUGUCCCAAUCC